CUACGGAGGGUGCAAGCGUUGUUCGGAAUCACUGGGCGUAAAGGGCGCGCAGGCGGUUUGGUAAGUCAGAUGUGAAAGCCCAUGGCUCAACCAUGGAAGUGCAUUUGAAACUGUCAGACUUGAGUACUAGAGGGGAAAGUGGAAUUCCCGGUGUAGAGGUGAAAUUCGUAGAUAUCGGGAGGAAUACCGGUGGCGAAGGCGACUUUCUGGCUAGAUACUGACGCUGAGGCGCGAAAGCGUGGGGAGCAAACAGGAUUAGAAACCCCAGUAGUCC
rnacentral:rRNA from 1 species